UUCCCUUAAUGUUUAAGCCCUACUUGAUUUCAGAUGCUUCUGACUCAUGUGUACCUGACUCAUCAAAGGGCUUUUUCUCUUCUUCCUUAUUUUUCAGGGUUUUGUUGUUGUUGUUGUUGUUUUCUGCUGUUGGUUUUGUUUUGUUUUGUUUUGUUUUUUAAUGAGCCUUUUGCAUCCUGGGACCUGGAAUGAGCCAUCCUAGUCAGCAUCACUCACCUUUUCUCCAGGAUGCCUUCUCUCACCCAAAAAUAUAACCUAUUGAUAUGGGAACAUUGGGUGCCUUUGAGAACAACAGAGCCUUGCUCAGCUCUUGGUGAGCUUGGCUCAAAAAGCCAGGAUCCCAGAAACUUGAUGGCCACUUUGAGCCAGUGGCUUUUGGGUUAUUGUCUGGAAACUCCAAAAAAGUAAAAUUUGUGAGCCAGAGCCUGAGAGAGACUCCUGUGGGAGGGAGAUGGAGUACAUCAAACCACCAAGCUGCUAAUCCAGGAGUUCUUUAAAGGAUUUACAGCAGAAAGUAGGAAAUCAUUUCUAUCAAGGGAGGAGGGAAGCUCACAAGGCUCAGACAGUCACAAAAUCAGCAACCCCCCCCACCACAAGGCAGCUGGCCAUGCUUCUCAAGCGAGGGGGCGACAACUGUAUGAGCUCGGAGCAGAGUCGGCAGCAUCAACAACAGCCUACAGCAGUUCCAGAGCACAGCCCUGAACAGUGAAAUCGAGAUGCACAAAGGAGCAAGAAAGGGAGACCGGGAAGCCUUGCGAAGUGAUCUGGAGUUCGUUUCUUCAGAUGAUCGGCUCCUUCAGUUUUAUCUGUGAUUAAAUGCUGAGGCCUGUGGGAAUGAACCUAGCUGGAGCUGGGAGCAGGGAAGUGUAGCAUCUAAGCAAGCAAGAGUGGUGGCUCCUGGGCCUGCCUAGCAGAGCUGCCAGCUCCCGGUCCAGAAGUCUGACUUCUUUCUGCCUGGUCUGAAUUCCGAGGACAUCUAACUGCAUCUUUGAGCUCUCUACUGCACCUGUCAUGGCUCUUCUGGCUCUUGAUAACAACUACGUGAGCAGCAUUCAGCUGGAUGAGGACCUUGCAAGUCACCUAGAGAAGAAUCAAAGCUGGCUGGAGGGUGUGGGUUGCAUAUGCAAAUUUAUAGGAGGGACUCCCAGCAGGUGGGCCCCAAGCCACAGUGGGGGCAGGGCAUAUAUUGGGGUAGAGCAAGGGGAGUGUCUAGGGGUCCCCUAGUUGCACAGCAACAGUCUCAGGAUUGGUACACCUCUGGGCUGGGGGAACCUGUCCUGAGUUGAUUGGUCAGCUGCAGCUGCAGAAAGGUUGCUGUGCCUAGAGGCCCUCCCAGGGCGGUUGCUAUGCCCCGCAGUCCACUAUUAUCAGUAAAGCACAUCCAGAAUCUGCCAGCUAACUUCUGAUUGGUUCCUUGUCACAUGGAGGGUAUCUGUCGGUUGCUUCUUAGUGAUUAGGGCAAGGUUGGGGGCUCAGCACAUAUUGCUGAGUCAGGGACAUACAUUUUGCUGAGUCUUUUCUGCAGCCUGUCAUGACUGCCAAAGCACAGGGCUGGGUGAGGGUGUGGGCCCUUCAAU
ensembl:lncRNA